UGUUUCCUGGAAUGUUCGAUAACUCCUAUAGUUUUGAACCUACAUUUGACACAAGGGAUUCCUAUAUCUUUAAGUGGAUGUCAGGCCUCCGUUAGCAGUGGAAGGCAGAAGCUUAUUUGCGGUUACCCACCUAGCAUAGCUAGGCGUCAGAAUAGUAGGAGCCGGCAUUUUGGGGAACAU
rfam:Butyrivibrio sp. CAG:318 genomic scaffold, scf114